UGUCUUGCAUACGUCUGUGCGUGGUGGUUCUUGAAGCACUGACUCCAGCUGCAGUCCACUCUUUGCGAAUCUCCCCCACAUUUUUGAAUGGGUUUUGAGUGCUAUUCUGGUUUUCG